rnacentral:misc_RNA from 1 species
CUCCAUGAUAAUAAUGGCAACAAGGCAGCUUAUUUACCAUCUCCCCAUCCACAACCUCAUCCGUGCAAAUAGCACAAACCACAAGUUCCUCCUUUCCCAAGUCUACCAGAGGCAGGUUUUCCACUACUCUUUUUGCAGCGGGUGGCGUUCCCAUCCAAUCAAAAUCAUUAUCCACCAACUGCUCCAAAGGGGUAUCAUAAUCAGCAUCAAACAUAAAAGGAUCCUCAAUCAAAUUGACUUGAUUGUUAAUGGCCAUUAAUAGUCCCCACUCAAUACUC